UACGAGGGGGGCAAGCGUUGUUCGGAAUUAUUGGGCGUAAAGGGCGCGUAGGCGGUGCGGUAAGUCUGAUGUGAAAUCUCCGGGCUCAACUCGGAGUCUGCAUCAGAAACUGCCGUGCUUGAGUGUGGGAGAGGUGAGUGGAAUUCCCGGUGUAGCGGUGAAAUGCGUAGAUAUCAGGAGGAACACCUGUGGCGAAAGCGGCUCACUGGACCAUAACUGACGCUGAUGCACGAAAGCUAGGGGAGCAAACAGG
rnacentral:rRNA from 1 species